AAAUACGAAGGCAUUGUUUUAGCAGGUUUUUUAAAUGGUAAUGAUCUUGAAUAUCUUGAAUCCAAUGUUUUAAACUUGCUCAAACAAAGAAACAUGGCAAAACUUGCUUUGGUUUUAAUUUUUCACAGUGUUAAGUGUAUGUUAUAAAGGAUUUUGAGCUUAAACCAUCAUACUUUAUUUCUGAACAAUUAUGGGCUUAAAAACCAUUCUUUCAAUUAUUGCACGAUUUUAAUUUUUUGUUGUGUUUCAUACUUAUUUGCUUUUAGAUACUUUUUUAGGUGCUCUAAGGAUGUUGAGGAAUUACAUAUGAAUGAUUUUCAUAUUUUGAUAUUAUUUGUGAAGUUGUUAUUGGUGCUUGAUGUGAUUAAUUAUAUGCUAAAUUGUUUUAGCAGUUUAUAAGGAGAGCACUCGAACUCUAAUGCUUUUGAAAUUUUAUGUUUUCCUUUAAAAAUGAUUUUCACUGGUAUAAAGCUUGAAAAUAUGAAAGCAUUGUUUUAGCAGAUUUUUAAUUGGAAAUGAAUUUGAAUAUCUUGAAUCCAAUUUUUUAAACUUGUUCAAACAAAGAAACAUGGUAAAACUUGCAUUGGUUUUAAUUUUUCGUAAUGUUAACUGUAAGUUAUAAAGGAUUUUAGAGUUUAAAACAUUAAACUUUGUUUAUGAACAAUUCUGGGCAUAAAAACCAUUCGCACAAUUAUUGCACGAUUUUAAUUUUUCAGUGUGUUUCAUACUUAUUUGCUUUUAGAUACAUUUUUUGGUGCUCUAAGUAUGUUGAGGAAUUACAUAGGAAUAAUCUUCAUAUUUGGUUAUUAUUUGUCGAGUUGUUAUUGUGCUUGAUGUGAUUAAUUGUCUGCUAAAUUGUUUCAGCAGUUUUAUAAGGAGAGCACUCGAAACUAAUGCUUUUGAAAUUUUAUGUUUUGCUUGAAAAUGAUUUUCACCGGUAUCAAGCUUUAAAAUACGAAGGCAUUUGUUUAGCAGGUUUUUAAAUGCAAAUGAUCUUGAAUAUCUUGAAUCCAACGUUUUUAAACUUGCUCAAACAAAGAAACAUGGCAAAACUAACUUGCAUUGGUUUAAUUUUCACAGUGUUAAGCGUAUGUUAUAAAGGAUUUUGGAGCUUAAACCAUUAGACUUUGUUCUGAACAAUUAUGGCUUAAAAGCCAUUCGCACAAUAUAUUGCACGGUUUUUAAUUUUUUCGUUUAUUCAUGCUUAUUUGCUUUUAGAUACACUUUUAGGUGGCUCUAAGGACGCUGAGGAUUACGUAUUAAUGAUCUUUCAUAUUUGGAUAUUAUUUGUGAAGUUGUUAUUAGUUCUUGAUGUGAUUAAUUAUGUGCUAAAUUGUUUUAUAAGUUUAUAUGGGGAGGACUCGAAGCCUAAUGGUUUUGAAAUUUUAUGUUUUGCUUUGAAAAUGAUUUUCACUGGUAUCAAGCUUUAAAAUAUGAAUGCAUUGUUUUACCAGAUUUUUAAAUGGAAAUAAAUUUAAAUAUCUUGAAUCCAAUGUUUUAAACUUCCUCAAACAAAGAAACAUAGUAAAACGUCCAUUGUUUUUAAUUUUUCAAAAUGUUAAGUGCAAGUUAUAAAGGAUUUUGGAGCUCGAAACAUCAAACUUUAUUUAUGAACAAUUUUGGGCAUAAAAGUCUUUCGCACGGUUAUUGCACGAUUUUAAUUUUUCGUUGUGUUUCAUACUUAUUUUCUUUUAGAUACAUUUUUAGGCGCUCUAAGGGAGUUGAGGAAUUACAUAUGAACGAUCUUCAUAUUUGGAUAUUAUUUGUGGAGUUGUUAUUGGUGCCUGAUGUGAUUAAUUGUCUGCUAAAUUGUUUCAGCAGUUUUAUAAGGAGAGCACUCGAAACCUAAUGCUUUUGAAAUUUUAUGUUUUGCUCUGAAAAUGAUUUUCACUGGUAUCAAGCUUUAAAAUACGAAGGCAUUGUUUUAGCAGGUUUUUUAAAUGCAAAUGAUCUCGAAUAUCUUGAAUCCAAUGUUUUAAACUUGCUCAAACAAAGAAACAUGGCAAAACUUGCAUUGGUUUUAAUUUUUCAUAGUGUUAAGCGUAUGUUAUAAAGGAUUUUGGAGCUUAAACCAUUAGACUUUGUUUCUGAACAAUUAUGGGCUUAAAAGCCAUUCGCACAAUUAUUGCACGAUUUUUAUUUUUCGUUGUUAUUCAUGCUUAUUUGCUUUUAGAUACAUUUUUAGGUGCUCUAAGGAUGUUGAGGAAUUACGUAUUAAUGAUC
rnacentral:lncRNA from 1 species